GAUGAACGCUGGCGGCGUGCCUAACGCAUGCAAGUCGAGCGUGAACCGUCUGAAUGAAACUUCGGUCGAGUGAGGAUGGGGAAAGCGGCGGACGGGUGAGUAACGCGUAGGCAACCUGCCCCGUACAGAGGGAUAGCCUCGGGAAACCGGGAUUAAGACCUCAUAAUACCAUUAUCUCACAUGUGAUAAUGGUCAAAGAUUUUAUCGGUAUGGGAUGGGCCUGCGUCUGAUUAGCUGGUUGGUGGGGUAACGGCUCACCAAGGCGACGAUCAGUAGCCGACCUGAGAGGGUAAUCGGCCACAUUGGAACUGAGACACGGUCCAAACUCCUACGGGAGGCAGCAGUGGGGAAUAUUGCACAAUGGGCGAAAGCCUGAUGCAGCAACGCCGCGUGAGCGAGGAAGGCCUUUGGGUCGUAAAGCUCUGUCGAGGAGGAAGAUAAUGACGGUACUCCUCGAGGAAGCCCCGGCUAACUACGUG
rnacentral:rRNA from 1 species